rnacentral:lncRNA from 1 species
GAGAACGCAGCAGCACGAACCCAAAUCCCCAACGCGUAGCAGCUGGCUCCAACACCAACCCUCCAGCUUGCCGACGGUGGCGGCGGGUCAGACCCGGUGCCUAGCUGGGAGAUUGCGCCCGGUGGAGGUCCAGAUCCAUCGUCGACCGUCUUGCCGCCGGCGUUCUGGCUGCCCUGAUGGACCUCUCCUGUUCUAAGCUGCGACCUUGUGCGGACAAGUUCUCUAAGCUACUCUGCUCCGACAUCUAGAGGAAAUCCUCGCUCCAUUCUUUGUCCUACCCCAACCAGCCUAUUAUCACACGUCGCCUGCACCCCCGCAUCUAGCUCUGCCAUCUGGGAAUGCCUCAGAAGAAAUAUCCAUCCCGCAAAAAAAAGAAGAAAUAUCCGGUCUUCAGGUAUGCUUGUCAAAGGUUGAUACCAAUUUUCAUAGUUGAUUCUGUAGUAAAUGUCCUCUACAUUGUAAAGAGACUUGUGCUUGAAGUUCAGACUGAAAGUACCAAACAUUCUGCAAAUAUUAUGUACCAAAUUUCAGACUUGUGCUUCGACAGUCUGAAAGUACUCUAUUGAGUAAAAUUUCAGACUUUUAGACUUGUGCUUGGACAGUCUGGAAGUACUUGAGCUUGUACCAAAUUUCAUACUUUCAGACUGACAGUCUGAAAGGUAAUAUUAACAAAGACGACAGUCUGAAAUUACUUGUGCUUGUACCAAAAUUCAGACUUCCAGACUUGUGCUUGGAGAGUCUGAAAGUGCCAAAUUUCAGACUAGUGCUUGGACAGUGUGAAAGUCUGAAAGUACCAUAUGUUGUGCUUGUACAUGUCAUCUACGACAUACAUAAUAUUAGUACUUUCAAACUUCUUCGGCGUAAAGAGUACUUCCAGUACAUAAUAUUAUUUAGAAAAUCAUUUUUUCAACUCUUACUACAAACUGGAAGCACAAUUCUGUAGCAUAUCAAGUUUAUUUAAGAGUACAUAAUAUUUUUGGCAUAUAUAUCUGAAAGUACUCUUGCUUUAAAAUGCUUUGAGCAUAUGUUGUAUCCUCUAGGAUAAGAUUCAAAAAAAUUGGAUCUUUGGAAAUGAUAUGAAUGGCAUGUAGAUGAUAUAUUUUAAUCAUGAGUAACAGUACCUUGGAUGCUUACAAUGAUUUUUUGGGCAAAGGCGAGCAGUACAGUAGCUAACCCACUAGCAACACAGUAUGUUAUACAUACAUACAGAGAGCUAAAAGAAAUUACUAAAGGACAGAACAUCCAUCAAUCUAACUGAAUAGAUAUAUUACCAGUAUAUAUGCUUAUUCCAACGAAAAAAGCACAUGUGAUAAAUGUGAACUAUAGUGCAAAAACUUAGUUUAGUAUGUACUGACACUUUAUGUGGUGUUGAUUAGCCAUAACAGAAAACAUAAUGUUUGCCUCAAAAUUUGGACAGGACAACUAGUUCAUGCUCAUCUGGGAUAUGCUUGCUUUCAAUUUGAGAGGAAUAACAGGGAUAUCUCUUUGUAUCCAUGCACAGAAAAAAAAUUGUAACUGG